GUGGGCGUAGCUCAGCGGGUAGAGCUCUGGAUUGUGGAUCCAGUGGUCGUGGGUUCGAACCCCAUCGUCCACCCCA
rnacentral:tRNA from 1 species